AGUUGAUGCUUGCCUGUCCCAGUGGAAUUAAUGGAAGCUGUCAACAGCCCGCCCCCGACCUCACUGGAUAUAACUGUGUCCUCGGCAGACGAGAGAAUAACCAGAGGAAGGGCUGAAAAUCCUGGAGAACACCAACAUUAACAAGCUUCAGUUUGUCAGAACCAGUUGGGAUGCAACAGGAUUUUCAGUUUUGCUGCCUUCCAUGCAUGAAUGGCUUCUGUUAGGUUGGAAUGACCAAGAUGAUUUUUCCACCCAUUCUUGGGACCUGGACUAUGAUGGCCACAGCAGCUAAAGAUGCCAGAUACUCCUUCAGGUUCUGCAUACUAUGAAACUACUACAUCAGCAGGUCCAAAGGACUCCACUGACUCAACUGAUCUGAGGGACCCCAUGAGAAGCCUACUCAUCAAAGAAUGCAGUUUCUAAAUCCUGAUGAGUUCACCCCCCUUGCCCUGACCAAUCAACAAUCCUAAUUCUCCAGUCCCUUGCCCUCCAUGAUCCUCUUAAAAACCCUAGCCCAGAAUUCCUCAGGAAGAUGGAUUUGAGGGUCUCCUUCCAACUCCUCACUCAGCGCCCUGUGGUCAUUAAACUUUCUCUGCUGCA
ensembl:lncRNA LINC02386 long intergenic non-protein coding RNA 2386